AGUCGACGGGUUGGCAACAACCAGUGGCGCACGGGUGCGUAACACGUAGGUAAUCAACCCCUCGGUUCGGGAUAACGUUCUGAAAGGAGCGCUAAUACCGGACGUGUCUUCGGGAGCUUCGGCUCCUGUCGAGAAAGACCCUCAAGGGUUGCCGAGGGACGAGCCUGCGGCCCAUCAGCUAGUUGGCGAGGUAAUAGCUCACCAAGGCGAAGACGGGUAGCUGGUCUGAGAGGAUGAUCAGUCACACUGGAACUGAGACACGGUCCAGACUCCUACGGGAGGCAGCAGUGGGGAAUAUUGCGCAAUGGGCGAAAGCCUGACGCAGCCACGCCGCGUGAGCGAUGAAGGCCUUCGGGUCGUAAAGCUCUGUGGGGAGAGACGAAGAAAGCCUGUGAAGAGCAGGCCUUGACGGUAUCUCCUUAGCAAGCACCGGCUAACUCCGUGCCAGCAGCCGCGGUAAUACGGAGGGUGCGAACGUUGCUCGGAAUCAUUGGGCGUAAAGCGCACGUAGGCGGCGGCGUAAGCGGGAUGUGAAAGCCCAGGGCUCAACCCUGGAAGUGCAUCCCGAACUGUGUCGCUUGAAUCUCGGAGGGGGACAGAGAAUUCCCGGUGUAGAGGUGAAAUUCGUAGAUAUCGGGAGG
rnacentral:rRNA from 1 species